UCCUGCCAGUAGUCAUAUGCUUGUCUCAAAGAUUAAGCCAUGCAAGUCUAAGUAUAAGCAUUUAUACUGUGAAACUGCGGAAAGCUCAUUAUAUCAGUUAUAGUUUAUUUGAUGGUAAACCCACUACAUGGAUAACCGUAGUAAUUCUAGAGCUAAUACAUGCCCAGAAGCGGUUUCGCAAGGAACCGUGGACUUAUUAGAUCAAGAGCCAACCCUGCUUCGGCAGGACUGAGCUGAAUCAUAGUAAUUUCGCUAAUCGCAUGAUCUUGUAUCGGCGAUGGGUCAUUCAAAUUUCUGCCCUAUCAGCUGUGAUGUUAGUGUAGUGGACUAACAUGGCAUAAACGGGUGACGGAGGAUUAGGGUCUGAUUCCGGAGAGGGAGCCUGAGAAAUGGCUACCACUUCCAAGGAAGGCAGCAGGCGCGUAAAUUACCCAAUCCCGAUACGGGGAGGUAGUGACAAGAAAUAACAAUACCGGAUCUUUCUAGAUCUGGUAAUUGGAAUGAGUACAACCUAAAAUCCUUAACAAGGACCAAUUGGAGGGCAAGUCUGGUGCCAGCAGCCGCGGUAAUACCAGCUCCAAUAGCGUAUAUUAAAGUUGUUGCAGUUAAAAGGCUCGUAGUCGAACUUUUGGUUCUUUAGUCUUGUCCCGUUCUCUUGUAGAACGUUGUGACGAGUCUUAGAACCUUCCUGGUUGAAAGCACUUCUGCCCUUUAUUGGGUUGGUUGUGUGAUCUGCCUCUUUUACUGUGAGAAAAACAAAGUGCUCAAAGCAGGCUUUACAGCUUGAAUGCGUUAGCAUGGAAUAAUAAGAUAGGACUUUGUUUCUAUUUUGUUGGCUCUGAGGAACAAAGUAAUGAUUGAUAGGGAUAGUUGGGGGUGCUCGUAUUUAACGGUCAGCGGUGAAAUGCAUGGACCCGUUAAAGACGAACCUAUGCGAAAGCAUUCACCAAGGAUAUCUUCUUUGAUCAAGAACGAAAGUUGGGGGAUCGAAGACGAUCAGAUACCGUCGUAGUCUCAACCAUAAACUAU
rnacentral:rRNA from 1 species